rnacentral:rRNA from 1 species
GCAGUCGAACGAUACUCUCUGGCUUGCUAGAGAGGAAAGUGGCGCACGGGUGCGUAACGCGUAUGCAACCUACCUUAAUCAGGGGGAUAGCCCGAAGAAAUUCGGAUUAACACCGCAUAAAAUCACGGUACAGCAUUGUACCAUGAUCAAAUAUUUAUAAGAUUAAGAUGGGCAUGCGUGACAUUAGUUAGUUGGCGGGGUAACGGCCCACCAAGACCACGAUGUCUAGGGGAUCUGAGAGGAUGACCCCCCACACUGGUACUGAGACACGGACCAGACUCCUACGGGAGGCAGCAGUAAGGAAUAUUGGUCAAUGGAGGCAACUCUGAACCAGCCAUGCCGCGUGCAGGAAGACAGCCCUCUGGGUCGUAAACUGCUUUUAUUCGGGAAUAAACCACAUUACGUGUAGUGUGCUGAAUGUACCGAAGGAAUAAGGAUCGGCUAACUCCGUGCCAGCAGCCGCGGUAAUACGGAGGAUCCAAGCGUUAUCCGGAUUUAUUGGGUUUAAAGGGUGCGUAGGCGGCUUUUUAAGUCAGGGGUGAAAGACGGUGGCUCAACCAUCGCAGUGCCCUUGAUACUGAAGAGCUUGAAUGAAUUAGAGGUAGGCGGAAUGUGACAAGUAGCGGUGAAAUGCAUAGAUAUGUCACAGAACACCGAUUGCGAAGGCAGCUUACUAUGAUUUUAUUGACGCUGAGGCACG